CUAAGUAAUUUUUUUAAGAAUACUAAAAUUGGUAUGAUACAGACAAGAUUAGCAUGGCCCCUGCGCAAGGAUGACAUGCUAAUUCAUGAAGUGUUCCAUAUUAAA